rnacentral:rRNA from 1 species
AUGCUAAGCAGUGACUUUUCUUUCAGUCCAAAGCAAUAUGAAUCGUCAUAUAAGGAAUGUAUGGAUGAUGAAGCUGCAUACCGCAACCAUGGUAUGAGGUACGCUUAUGGCCUUGUGAUGAAGAGCCGAGGGCAGGAGGGAUUGAGAAGAUCUCUUUGGGAGAGACUCAAGGGUGGAAUUAUUUUUGGGGAGAAAUACCUCGAAAAAUGUUACCCAGCAUGCACAUUCUUAUGCCACUUGAAAGAAGCAUCAUUUAAGCCUUUUGGUGUUACCACUCAGGAAGGAAGGUAUAGAUGGGUAACUGGGUUCGGCAUAACACGUGUGUACAAAUCUUCUUUUAUGCUGGCUGAAACUGUAAUAAUCUAG